rnacentral:rRNA from 1 species
CACGUAGGCGGUUUGUUAAGUUGGAUGUGAAGGCCCAGGGCUCAACCUUGGAAUUGCAUCCGAUACUGGCAAGCUAGAGUACAGUAGAGGGAGGUGGAAUUUCCGGUGUAGCGGUGAAAUGCGUAGAGAUCGGAAGGAACACCAGUGGCGAAGGCGGCCUCCUGGACUGAUACUGACGCUGAGGUGCGAAAGCGUGGGGAGCAAACA